UGACAGAGAAUUUCCCAUGGGAGAGACAGGGCCCAACAGAAUAAAGAAGUCUCGCGGAGAGCCAGAAAGAAGGACUUUCAGCCCAGGGAGUCAGGGAAUAAUCUCUACUCAAAAAUAGAGAGCCGAAAAAAAAAAAAAAAAAAAAAAGAUAAUUACAGCCCAGCAAUUCAGGGAAUGGUUCCCACUCAGAACAAGGAGCCAAGAAAAGACCUUACAUCCCACGGGUGUAGCUGAUGUUUGUCUGGGGCAGCGUUUCAGGAGUCUGACUCUCCAAUUGAUUCUCACUCAGCAAGAAAUGAAGACAAAAGCUUCAAAGGACCACUUGUAGUGUGGGAAGAGAUACUGGACUCAAUUCUAAAUACAACAUGGAGAAGUGGA
rnacentral:lncRNA from 1 species